AGGAAACACAAAUAGUGAAGAAACCUCUAAUUUUAUUCUAGCCUAGAUUAAUUAGAUGCUGCUAACAGUUAACUCUUCAAAAAAUGAAUUGCAAUGUGCUGGUAAGAGUCUUAGGAGCUGGAGUUCUCAGCUGCAGUAAACAGCAUAUGGUGGAGAAGUUGUUCUUGUGCUGCAUUUGA
rnacentral:lncRNA from 1 species